GUUUCGACUCAUCCGGCCUCCGCCUUUCGAUAACUCGUUUCCGUCGUUUGUAAACAACGCCGAGCCGGCUGAUCGGACUUGACCAAUGGUAAACGAAAUCUCGCUGGAUCUUCGAUCAAACGGCAUUUACGUUACAUCGUGGCGGCGGUGAAAAUCGGCGUGCGUACAACAUGUCGGUAAAUUGUUAUCGUGGAUUCGGCCGAACGACGAUCUCUUACAAUUCUACGGCACUACGAUUAAUUAGACCGUACAGAAGAACAACUUCCAUAAGGAGGGAAAGGAACAGGAAAGAAAGA
rnacentral:misc_RNA from 1 species